CGUAGGGGCGUAGCGUUGUCCGGAAUCACUGGGCGGUAAAGGGUUACGGCAGGCGGAAAUAGCAAGUCAGAUGUAAAAGGACAGUAGCUUAACUACUGUAAGCAUUUGAAACUGCAUAUCUUGAGAAGAGUAGAGGUAAGUGGAAUUUUAGUGUAGCGGUGAAAUGCGUAGAUAUUAAAAAGAAUACCGGUGGCGAAGGCGACUUACUGGGCUCAUUCUGACGCUGAGGAACGAAAGCGUGGGUAGCAAACAGGAUU
rnacentral:rRNA from 1 species